rnacentral:rRNA from 1 species
AACGAACGCUGGCAGCAUGCCUAACACAUGCAAGUCGAACGAGACCUUCGGGUCUAGUGGCGCACGGGUGCGUAACGCGUGGGAACCUGCCCUUAGGUUCGGAAUAACUCCCCGAAAGGGGUGCUAAUACCGGAUAAUGUCUUCGGACCAAAGAUUUAUCGCCUUUGGAUGGGCCCGCGUUGGAUUAGCUAGUUGGUAGGGUAAAAGCCUACCAAGGCGACGAUCCAUAGCUGGUCUGAGAGGAUGAUCAGCCACACUGGGACUGAGACACGGCCCAGACUCCUACGGGAGGCAGCAGUGGGGAAUAGUGGACAAGGGGGGAAAGGCUGAUCCAGCAAGGCCGCGUGAGUGAUGAAGGCCGUAGGGUUGUAAAGCUCUUGUACCCGGGAUGAUAAUGACAGUACCGGGAGAAUAAGCUCCGGCUAACUCCGCG